rnacentral:rRNA from 1 species
GGGUUGUGAGGUUAAGCGAACAAGCGUACACGGUGGAUGCCCUGGCAGUCAGAGGCGAUGAAGGACGUGCUAAUCUGCGAAAAGCGUCGGUAAGGUGAUAUGAACCGUUAUAACCGACGAUGUCCGAAUGGGGAAACCCGGUGCACUUCGGUGCAUCAUCGUUUGAUGAAUACAUAGUCAAACGAGGCGAACCGGGGGAACUGAAACAUCUAAGUACCCCGAGGAAAAGAAAUCAACCGAGAUUCCCCCAGUAGCGGCGAGCGAACGGGGAACAGCCCAGAGCCUGAAUCAGCUUGUGUGUUAAUGGAAGCGUCUGGAAAGUCGCACGAUACAGGGUGAAAGUCCCGUACAUGAAAGCACACAGGUUGUGAGCUCGAUGAGUAGGGCGGGACACGUGAUAUCCUGUCUGAAGAUGGGGGGACCAUCCUCCAAGGCUAAAUACUCCUGACUGACCGAUAGUGAACCAGUACCGUGAGGGAAAGGCGAAAAGAACCCCGGCGAGGGGAGUGAAACAGAACCUGAAACCGUGUACGUACAAGCAGUGGGAGCCUUCGUAAGAGGGUGACUGCGUACCUUUUGUAUAAUGGGUCAGCGACUUAUAUUCUGUAGCAAGGUUAACCGCAUAGGGGAGCCGAAGGGAAACCGAGUCUUAAUUGGGCGUUAAGUUGCAGGGUAUAGACCCGAAACCCGGUGAUCUAGCCAUGGGCAGGUUGAAGGUUGGGUAACACUAACUGGAGGACCGAACCGACUAAUGUUGAAAAAUUAGCGGAUGACCUGUGGCUGGGGGUGAAAGGCCAAUCAAACCGGGAGAUAGCUGGUUCUCCCCGAAAGCUAUUUAGGUAGCGCCUCGUGAACUCAUCUCCGGGGGUAGAGCACUGUUUCGGCUAGGGGGCCAUCCCGGCUUACCAACCCGAUGCAAACUGCGAAUACCGGAGAAUGUUAUCACGGGAGACACACGGCGGGUGCUAACGUCCGUCGUGAAGAGGGAAACAACCCAGACCGCCAGCUAAGGUCCCAAAGUCAUGGUUAAGUGGGAAACGAUGUGGGAAGGCCCAGACAGCCAGGAUGUUGGCUUAGAAGCAGCCAUCAUUUAAAGAAAGCGUAAUAGCUCACUGGUCGAGUCGGCCUGCGCGGAAGAUGUAACGGGGCUAAACCAUGCACCGAAGCUGCGGCAGCGACACAUGNNNNNNNNNNNNNNNNNNNNNNNNNNNNNNNNNNNNNNNNNNNNNNNNNNNNNNNNNNNNNNNNNNNNNNNNNNNNNNNNNNNNNNUGUAGGUGAAACCCCUGCGGGUGGAGCUGAAGUCAGUCGAAGAUACCAGCUGGCUGCAACUGUUUAUUAAAAACACAGCACUGUGCAAACACGAAAGUGGACGUAUACGGUGUGACGCCUGCCCGGUGCCGGAAGGUUAAUUGAUGGGGUUAUCGCAAGAGAAGCUCCUGAUCGAAGCCCCGGUAAACGGCGGCCGUAACUAUAACGGUCCUAAGGUAGCGAAAUUCCUUGUCGGGUAAGUUCCGACCUGCACGAAUGGCGUAAUGAUGGCCAGGCUGUCUCCACCCGAGACUCAGUGAAAUUGAACUCGCUGUGAAGAUGCAGUGUACCCGCGGCAAGACGGAAAGACCCCGUGAACCUUUACUACAGCUUGACACUGAACAUUGAGCCUUGAUGUGUAGGAUAGGUGGGAGGCUUUGAAGCGUGGACGCCAGUCUGCGUGGAGCCAACCUUGAAAUACCACCCUUUAAUGUUUGAUGUUCUAACCUGGCGCCGUGAUCCGGCGUGGGGACAGUGUCUGGUGGGUAGUUUGACUGGGGCGGUCUCCUCCCAAAGUGUAACGGAGGAGCACGAAGGUCAGCUAAUCCUGGUCGGACAUCAGGAGGUUAGUGCAAUGGCAUAAGCUGGCUUGACUGCGAGAGUGACGGCUCGAGCAGGUGCGAAAGCAGGUCAUAGUGAUCCGGUGGUUCUGUAUGGAAGGGCCAUCGCUCAACGGAUAAAAGGUACUCCGGGGAUAACAGGCUGAUACCGCCCAAGAGUUCAUAUCGACGGCGGUGUUUGGCACCUCGAUGUCGGCUCAUCACAUCCUGGGGCUGAAGUAGGUCCCAAGGGUAUGGCUGUUCGCCAUUUAAAGUGGUACGCGAGCUGGGUUUAGAACGUCGUGAGACAGUUCGGUCCCUAUCUGCCGUGGGCGCUGGAGAAUUGAGGGGGGCUGCUCCCAGUACGAGAGGACCGGAGUGGACGCAUCACUGGUGUUCGGGUUGUCAUGCCAAUGGCACUGCCCGGUAGCUAAAUGCGGAAGAGAUAAGUGCUGAAAGCAUCUAAGCACGAAACUUGCCCCGAGAUGAGUUCUCCCUGACUCCUUGAGAGUCCUGAAGGAACGUUGAAGACGACGACGUUGAUAGGCCGGGUGUGUAAGCGCAGCGAUGCGUUGAGCUAACCGGUACUAAUGAACCGUGAGGCUUAACCUUACAACGCCAAAGAAGU